rnacentral:tRNA from 1 species
GGGGUUGUGGCUCAGUGGUAGAGCACACGUCUAGCAAGUGCGAGGCUAUGAGUUCGAUCCUCAGCACCA